CCCUUAGAUGUUCUGGGCUGCACGCGCGCUACACUGAUGCGCUCAACGAGUUUAUGCCCUUGCCCGGAAGGGUUGGGUAAUCUUUUUAAAACGCAUCGUGAUGGGGAUAGAUUAUUGUAAUUAUUAAUCUUCAACGAGGAAUUCCUAGUAAACGCAAGUCAUCAGCUUGCAUUGAUUACGUCCCUGCCCUUUGUACACACCGCCCGUCGCACCUACCGAUUGAAUGGUCCGGUGAAAACCUCGGAUUCUUACUUGAUUCCAGUAAUGGAGACUUGCGAGGAGAAGUCGUUUAAACCUUACCAUUUAGAGGAAGGUGAAGUCGUAACA
rnacentral:rRNA from 1 species